rnacentral:rRNA from 1 species
GAUGAACGCUGGCGGCGUGCUUAACACAUGCAAGUCGAACGAUGAACCUCACUUGUGGGGGGAUUAGUGGCGAACGGGUGAGUAACACGUGAGUAACCUGCCCUUGACUCUGGGAUAAGCCUGGGAAACCGGGUCUAAUACUGGAUACGACCUUCUGGCGCAUGCCAUGUUGGUGGAAAGCUUUUGUGGUUUUGGAUGGACUCGCGGCCUAUCAGCUUGUUGGUGGGGUAAUGGCCUACCAAGGCGACGACGGGUAGCCGGCCUGAGAGGGUGACCGGACACACUGGGACUGAGACACGGCCCAGACGCCUACGGGAGGGAGCAGUGGGGAAUAUGGGACAAUGGGCGGAAGCCUGAUGCAGCGACGCCGCGUGAGGGAUGAAGGCCUUCGGGUUGUAAACCUCUGUCAGUAGGGAAGAAGCCGGCUUUGGGGUUGGUGACGGUACCUGCAGAAGAAGCGCCGGCUAACUACGUG